rnacentral:rRNA from 1 species
CCUUUUUUGGCUUCUUUUUUGUAUAUUGGUCAAUGGACGCAAGUCUGAACCAGCCAAGUAGCGUGCAGGAUGACGGCCCUCCGGGUUGUAAACUGCUUUUAGUUGGGAAUAAAAGGGGGCUCGUGAGCCCCGUAUUGUAUGUACCAUCAGAAAAAGGACCGGCUAAUUCCGUGCCAGCAGCCGCGGUAAUACGGAAGGUCCGGGCGUUAUCCGGAUUUAUUGGGUUUAAAGGGAGCGUAGGCCGGCUUUUAAGUCAGCUGUGAAAGUCCGCGGCUCAACCGUGGAAUUGCAGUUGAAACUGGAGG